rnacentral:rRNA from 1 species
UACGUAGGGUGCAAGCGUUAAUCGGAAUUACUGGGCGUAAAGCGUGCGCAGGCGGUUUUGUAAGUCUGUCGUGAAAUCCCCGGGCUUAACCUGGGAAUUGCGAUGGAGACUGCAAGGCUGGAGUCUGGCAGAGGGGGGUAGAAUUCCACGUGUAGCAGUGAAAUGCGUAGAUAUGUGGAGGAACACCGAUGGCGAAGGCAGCCCCCUGGGUCAAAACUGACGCUCAUGCACGAAAGCGUGGGGAGCAAACAGG